rnacentral:rRNA from 1 species
UACGGAGGGUGCAAGCGUUGUCCGGAAUCACUGGGCGUAAAGGGCGCGUAGGCGGCUCAUGAAGGCUGUGGUGAAAGUCCGGGGCUCAACCUCGGAUCGGCCGUGGCGACUCGUGGGCUGGAGCACUGUAGAGGCGGGUGGAAUUCCGGGUGUAGCGGUGGAAUGCGUAGAGAUCCGGAAGAACACCAGUGGCGAAGGCGGCCCGCUGGGCAGUGGCUGACGCUGAGGCGCGACAGCGUGGGGACGCAAACGAGG